ACCUCCACCAUCUUCUAUAUGAAAUGUAAUAUUGCUUGUCAGCUGGAUGCAAUCAAACAAAUUAUUAUAGCUGCAAUGCUUUUUUUAUAGCAUACAACCAAAUAAAGAUGUAUGUAGUUGUGACUGCUAUAUAUAUUUUCAGCUACAUGCAUUUUCAACUACGUACGUACAUGAUAUAAUCCUCUUUUUAACUCUAAUCCUCUUUCCAUCCUAUUGCAUACCGAUUGUGGGAUAAGCUUUUCUCUUUCUCCAUUCACCUUACAUUUCGCAUGCAAUAACUAAUGAACUGCAUAUGCAGAGCUCGAAACUUAAGAGUGUGAAGCCACAAUGAGGUUGUUCUUUGACUUAAAUUUUGAAGUUUGAAAACUCACAUAAUCGCUUUGCAUGUCAGUGGUUCCUCAUGUUUAUUUCCUUAUUAGAUUGGGUUUUGUAUUAUUUGGUAUCUUAUUUUAUUAGUGCCAUUUGAGCUCAUUUAUGGUGUAUUGGAGACGAGGAAUUCUACACUAUCACACUUGCACCACGUCAUCAAUAACAAGUCAAUUACAUCUCUUCUUUUCAAGCAAAAGUACAAUAAAAAUAUUUUUUUAUAAUCAUGAUAGGACAUAUAUCUUUAAAAGGAGAUAUUUUAUUGGUUUGUUACGCCAAGUCACCAAUAUACCCGUUGCAUUCUAGAAUUUUCCGUAUUGGACACAGCAUGGUCGACCGACCGCACUCUAUGGUUGACCAUGGCAGCCGGUCACUAGCAAUAUCUUAGCGUCGAUUGUCAACUGCUUCAGGGCACAAUCAACUUAAUUUGCAGGGAUAGUCGACCAAGCUCGACCCUAGGUCGACUGUGGGGCCAAAUGGAACUCUUAUUAGAGGUCGUUUGGUUUGAGUAUAAGCAAGAACUGCUUAUUCCAGUGAUACGUACAAGUUCAGGUAUCAAUAAUUAAGAACAAGACAAAUUUUGUAUUUGGAUGAAAAUUUGAUUGUUUUCAAAAAUAAGAAAAAUAGUGAUAGAUAAGAUGGAAUAAAAAAAAUAGUGGGCAAUUAUAAAUAGAAAAAUAUAUUAUCUCUUUGUUAUAUUUGAAUUUUGAAUUUUGAAUUAAAUUUAAAAUUUUUAUUUUUAAAUUUAAAAAUCUAAAAUUAAAAUUUAAAAUUAAACUAUCAAAUUUUAAACUUUAAAUUUUAAACUUAAGAACAAAUUUAAAUUUAAAAAUAACAAAUAUUAAAUUUAAAAAAUAUAAAAUAUCAAAUUAAAAUUUACAAUUUAAAAUUAUAAACUUUAAUUUUAAAAUUUUUAAAAAUUAAAAAUAAAAAUUUAAAUUUAAAUUUUUUUAAAAAAAAUAGGGGUGGGAA
rnacentral:lncRNA from 1 species